AAAACGGGAACCUUCUUCUACAAAAUAGUUCAUUGUGGUUACAUCUUUAUAACAUGAAAACAACUAGUUGAAAAGUGAUACUUUAGUCUGUUACCUGUCAGUUCAGUCAGAAUUGGUUUGUCUACAUUUUUCACCCCACAAUGAAUUUGAUUCAUUAAAUUUAGUGCUCCCACCCUUGGUGUGUAUAUUGUAUUGUAUUUCAGGGAAAAUACAAAGAGAAAAAUAAUUGUCUUGCUGUUAAUUCAGUGUUGGUAGGUUAUUUAAUCUGAGUCUCACUUUCCUCUGUAAAAUAAAGCUGAUGAUAAUACAGCUAUCUCAUGGGGGCUGAAACAGUGUGGCUAGUUCAAGGGAUAAAUAAAUUAGUAUGUAAAGUCCUGGCUUUAAAACAGCACCUGUACAAUCUAAUAACUGAAUGUGUUCCUCCUUGCUCUCCAGCUGCAGUAAUCUCCCCCCUCCCCUCCUUUGGCUCAGUCCUCUCUGCCUCAGGGCUUUUGCAUAUACUGUUCCUGAUACCUUUCCCCACCCCCCUCUUUGUCUUUCCCUGGCUAACACUUAUUCAACCUUUUAACCUUUGCAUAAGUUCCAUUUCCUUGGGGGACUGUUUUGGGAGUUAGAGGCUGCAGAGGAGGAACCUGUUGUUUAGUGGUUACAUCUGUUUGCAUGAUGCUCUCAAAAUGCCUUCCUGACUGGAAAACUGGCCCCACAAGGCCUUGCUGAUUUCACUCUCCACUACAUCCCCAGCAUCCCACACAGGACCUGGCACACAUUUCUGUUCGAACAGUAAGGAUGGGUGACUGCUUUGGGAGGAGGAAAACAGCAGUUGUGCUUGCUGUCCCAGCUUUAGCUGUGAGAUUGGUCAGGAGAGUCCUGGUUGGAAUGAAUCAUCGGCACUUGGACCUUUCACUUUAACGUAGGGAGAAUAGGGCUGCUUAUGUGUUAAUGGCAGACUUGCCAUCACUGGAUUUUGGGUGUCUAAGCAACUUGGUUUUCUUUCUUUUCCUUCCAGUAAAUCCUUGAUGGUGGGAGUGGUGUGGCAAAAGAGGGUGGACAGAGCAUUCAGAACGUCAGAGAGAACCUUGCCUCUGCAUAGGGCCACACUAUGGUUAGCCUUCCUCCCAAGGAGCACUCUAGGAUUGUCAGGUUGUGUGGCCUUUUGGCAAGGCAGGAGCAAUGCUCCAUGCCCACCUGCAGGUGGCAGUAAAGGUGAUAGGGAAAGGGUGGGUGUGAGGCUUUACUGACUGGACACAGGGAGUUGCUGAAAUCGCUGAGGGAGUUUGGAGUUGAUUAUAAUGCAGGGAGAAACCACUGCAAGACUGUAAUCACAUGAUUUGAUGGAUGUUACAAAAAGCAAAGAUUGGAAUUAGGAACCUGUUAAGUGAGUCCAGGUGGCUGAUGGGCCAGGAUGGUUGGGGAGAUGAAGAGAGAUUUUGAUGGAUUGGGUAUAGCAACUGAGCAGGGGCUGGCUGGCUGUAUUUUGAGUUCAAGCUCAAAUGUACCUAACUGCCCUAUAUCUGGGAGAUCAUUUCAGAGAGGAAAUUUUUAAAAAGAGAAGACAAGGGGCUGGGGAUGUGGCUCAAGCGGUAACAUGCUCGCCUGGCAUGCGCGCCUGGGGCGCUGGGUUCGAUCCUCAGCACCACAUACAAAUGAAAUAAAGAUGUUGUGUCCACCAAAAACUGGAAAUAA
rnacentral:lncRNA from 1 species